CCUACGGGAGGCAGCAGUGGGGAAUAUUGGACAAUGGGCGAAAGCCUGAUCCAGCAAUGCCGCGUGAGUGAUGAAGGCCUUAGGGUUGUAAAGCUCUUUUACCAGGGAUGAUAAUGACAGUACCUGGAGAAUAAGCUCCGGCUAACUCCGUGCCAGCAGCCGCGGUAAUACGGAGGGAGCUAGCGUUGUUCGGAAUUACUGGGCGUAAAGCGUACGUAGGCGGUUAUUCAAGUCAGAGGUGAAAGCCCGGGGCUCAACCCCGGAACUGCCUUUGAAACUAGAUAGCUAGAAUCUUGGAGAGGUUAGUGGAAUUCCGAGUGUAGAGGUGAAAUUCGUAGAUAUUCGGAAGAACACCAGUGGCGAAGGCGACUAACUGGACAAGUAUUGACGCUGAGGUACGAAAGCGUGGGGAGCAAACAGGAUUAGAUACCCUGGUAGUCCACGCCGUAAACGAUGAUAACUAGCUGUUCGGGCACUUGGUGCCUGAGUGGCGCAGCUAACGCAUUAAGUUAUCCGCCUGGGGAGUACGGUCGCAGNUUAAAACGUCAAAUGAAUUGAACGGCUGAGAGUGCGAGGACGACGACGAGGGAGGAGG
rnacentral:rRNA from 1 species